ACGGAAGGCCGCAGAGGGGAAUAUUGGGCAAUGGGCGCAAGCCUGACCCAGCAAUGCCGCGUGAAGGAAGAAGGCUUUCGGGUUGUAAACUUCUUUUAAGUGGGACGAUAAUGACGGUACCACUUGAAUAAGCUCCGGCUAACUACGUGCCAGCAGCCGCGGUAAUACGUAGGGAGCAAGCGUUAUCCGGAUUUACUGGGUGUAAAGGGCGUGUAGGCGGGACUGCAAGUCAGAUGUGAAAGCACGAGGCUCACAAAAGUGUCUGCAUUUGAAACUGUAGUUCUUGAGUGUUGGAGAGGCUAACGGAACUCCUAGUGUAGCGGUGAAAUGCGUAGAUAUUAGGAAGAACACCAGUGGCGAAGGCGGUUAGCUGGACAAUAACUGACGCUGAGGCGCGAAAGCGUGGGUAGCAAACAGGAUUAGAUACCCUGGUA
rnacentral:rRNA from 1 species